CUACGGGAUGCUCCAGUGAGGAAUAUUGCACAAUGGGGGGAACCCUGAUGCAGCAACGCCGCGUGGAGGAUGACGCAUUUCGGUGUGUAAACUCCUUUUAUAUGUCAAGAAAAUGACGGUAGCAUAUGAAUAAGCACCGGCUAACUCCGUGCCAGCAGCCGCGGUAAUAAGGAGGGUGCAAGCGUUACUCGGAAUCACUGGGCGUAAAGGACGCGUAGGCGGGUUGGAAAGUCGGGUGUGAAAUCCUACAGCUUAACUGUAGAACUGCACUUGAAACUUCUAAUCUAGAGUAUGGGAGGGGGAGAUGGAAUUAGUGGUGUAGGGGUAAAAUCCGUAGAUAUCACUAGGAAUACCUAAAGCGAAGGCGAUCUCCUGGAACAUUACUGACGCUAAGGCGUGAAAGCGUGGGGAGCAAACAGGAUUAGAUACCCUAGUAGUC
rnacentral:rRNA from 1 species